CAUGAAAGGACAGAUAAAUAAAUAAAAACCAAAAUAGCUGUAAAGAAAUAACAGUUUUAGAACCUACCAAAACCAACAACAAUAGAAACACCUUAAGCCAAAAAAAAAGAUCCAAAUAUAAGCCAAACAAACGAUUCUCUUCUCCUACUGAAAGAUCCUGAGAUGAAGAAGAGGAGAGAACUAAGCUUUGAAUCCAUAGAUGGAGAAUCGGUGAAUCAUCACCAUUUUCAAAGCCGAAUUAAAGUGAACCAUGAAACCUCUGACGAUCCAGCAUCGCCAUCUCCUUCACAGCGACUGGUACUCCGUCUGUCUAGACACCGAAAAUCUGUCUUCGCCGUCCUUCCAUCGCCAAUGUGUGAGCCGUCCUAUUCACCAGUCAGGGCACCAAAGUAUUUGUCUUUCUCCUUCUUGUGAAUGCUCUUAAUAACUGUUAAGGAAUCCCCCUUAAUAUUCAAGCGCCGAAAUCCCUUCUCAACUGCAAAUAGAAGCGCCCUUUCACAUACCCGUGCCUCUGCCAAGCAAGCGUCGCUCACAUUCGAAAACAGAUAAGUUUCUGCCGCGACUAUUUCACCUUCUGAAUCUCUGGCAAUAACUACUGUAACAGCGAGUUGUAAAUCAUGCUGAAAAGCCGCAUCAAAAUUAAGCUUUAAAACUCCAACUUCGGGGGGUUUCCAGACCACUCUAUCUAUAGAUCUAAGAGAAGGACUAGAAAUCUCUUGAUUCAGGCUCAAAUCACGACUAUAACCUUGAAUAAACCCUAACAAUUCCAUCAAGGAUGGUUUAACCCCUUCAUUAACAAGUUUAUUUCUUCUAAACCAGAGACUCCAUAUAGAGAUUACUAGUAAUUGCUUCUGUUGAUCACUCGCAAUAGAAAAAUUCUAAAUAAAACGAUGCUUAUAAUUUGACAACUCACUGAAAUCUUGCAGCUGGAUUUGAAGUGUGGCCCAAACAGAUUGUGGGAAGUCACAAGACCAUAACAAAUGACCAGAGUCCUCCAUCUCAACUUUACACAAAGGGCAGAAGACAUCAACAGAUAAAGACCUCUUUGCCAAAUUAGAGAAAUGAGGCAACAAAUCGUUAAUAAGCCUCCAUAUGUGAAUUUUAAUUUUCAUAAGAAUGUUCAAAUUCCAUAGAGAUUUGUAAAAACCCCUAUAGUCAACAUAGUUAGAGGAUGUGUAUGUAUGAUUCAGUAGUAACUCUGUAGAUAGAGCCCGGUACCGACUUUUCACUGUAUAUUCCCCAGAUCCUUCGUAUUUCCAAACCAACAUGUCAUCUACAUUAGCACUAGAAAUAGGAAUGGAAAGGAUACGCUUUGCAGUGGUUUUAUCAACCAAAUUAUGAAUCAGCUCAUUAUCCUAGUGAACCCAAUACUGGAAAUGGCAACAAAAAGACGUAAUCUGCAGUUUUUUUUAUUUUGUCACGGCUGGAGUCGUGGGCACGACGCUUAUUCUGUCGCGGCUGGAGUCGUGGGCACGACGCUGGGCAUGACGUGGAUCUGACGUGGCAAAUCAGAAGUCAACACAGGAAUAUUCUGGAAACAACUUAUCUUGAUCUAUUGACGUGAUUUGAGGGAUUUUGGAUUUCAUUUUCCUAAUUUUAGAGAUAUUAUCUUAUUUUUCUUUUAAUUUUCCUUGUUGAUUUGGGAAUUUGAAGCCUAUAAAUACCCACCUUUGGGUAAGGCUAAGGGGAUCUCUUGUCUUUUGUUCUUGUUGCUACUUUGUUUUCAUUUUUAAUAAAAUUUUCUUCUUUUGUUUUA